GGUUAAGUUAGAAAGGGCGCACGGUGGAUGCCUUGGCACUAGGAGCCGAAGAAGGACGGGACUAACACCGAUAUGCUUUGGGGAGCUGUACGUAAGCGUUGAUCCAGAGAUUUCCGAAUGGGGGAACCCACUAUCUUUAGUCGGAUAGUAUCCUUACGUGAAUACAUAGCGUGAGGAAGGCAGACCCAGGGAACUGAAACAUCUAAGUACCUGGAGGAAGAGAAAGAAAAAUCGAUUUCCUGAGUAGCGGCGAGCGAAACGGAAAGAGCCCAAACCAAGAAGCUUGCUUCUUGGGGUUGUAGGACACUCUAUACGGAGUUACAAAAGAAAGUUAUAAAUGAAGCGGUCUGGAAAGGCCCGCCAAAGACGGUAACAGCCCGGUAGUUGAAAUGGCUUUCCCUCCAGAGUGGAUCCUGAGUACGGCGGAACACGUGAAAUUCCGUCGGAAUCCGGGAGGACCAUCUCCCAAGGCUAAAUACUCCCUAGUGACCGAUAGUGAACCAGUACCGUGAGGGAAAGGUGAAAAGCACCCCGGAAGGGGAGUGAAACAGUUCCUGAAACCGUGUGCCUACAAGUAGUUAGAGCCCGUUAAUGGGUGAUAGCGUGCCUUUUGUAGAAUGAACCGGCGAGUUACGAUUUGUUGCAAGGUUAAGCGGAAAAAGCGGAGCCGUAGCGAAAGCGAGUCUGAAUAGGGCGCAUAAGUAACAGGUCGUAGACCCGAAACCAGGUGAUCUACCCAUGUCCAGGAUGAAGGUAAGGUAAUACUUACUGGAGGUCCGAACCCACGCACGUUGAAAAGUGCGGGGAUGAGGUGUGGGUAGCGGAGAAAUUCCAAUCGAACUUGGAGAUAGCUGGUUCUCUCCGAAAUAGCUUUAGGGCUAGCCUCGAGGUAAAGAGUCAUGGAGGUAGAGCACUGUUUGGACUAGGGGCCCUUCUCGGGUUACCGAAUUCAGAUAAACUCCGAAUGCCAUGUACUUAUACUCGGGAGUCAGACUGCGAGUGAUAAGAUCCGUAGUCGAAAGGGAAACAGCCCAGACCACCAGUUAAGGUCCCCAAAUAUAUGUUAAGUGGAAAAGGAUGUGGGGUUGCUUAGACAACCAGGAUGUUGGCUUAGAAGCAGCCACCAUUGAAAGAGUGCGUAAUAGCUCACUGGUCGAGUGACCCCGCGCCGAAAAUGUACCGGGGCUAAACAUAUUACCGAAACUGUGGAUGAACCUCUUUAGAGGUUCGUGGUAGGAGAGCGUUCUAAGGGCGGUGAAGUCAGACCGGAAGGACUGGUGGAGCGCUUAGAAGUGAGAAUGCCGGUAUGAGUAGCGAAAGAAGGGUGAGAAUCCCUUCCACCGAAUAUCUAAGGUUUCCUGAGGAAGGCUCGUCCGCUCAGGGUUAGUCGGGACCUAAGCCGAGGCCGAUAGGCGUAGGCGAUGGACAACAGGUAGAGAUUCCUGUACCAGUGCUAAUUGUUUAACCGAUGGGGUGACACAGAAGGAUAGGGAAUCGCACGAAUGGAAAUGUGCGUCCAAGCAGUGAGUGUGAGAAGUAGGCAAAUCCGCUUCUCGCGAAGCAUGAGCUGUGAUGGGGAAGGAAAUUAAGUACGGAAGUUCCUGAUUUCACGCUGUCAAGAAAAGCCUCUAGGAAGAGUAGUACUGCCCGUACCGCAAACCGACACAGGUAGAUGAGGAGAGAAUCCUAAGGUGAGCGAGAGAACUCUCGUUAAGGAACUCGGCAAAAUGACCCCGUAACUUCGGGAGAAGGGGUGCUCUAUUAGGGUGCAAGCCCGAGAGAGCCGCAGUGAAUAGGCCCAGGCGACUGUUUAGCAAAAACACAGGUCUCUGCAAAACCGUAAGGUGACGUAUAGGGGCUGACGCCUGCCCGGUGCUGGAAGGUUAAGAGGAGUGCUUAGCUUCGGCGAAGGUACGAAUUGAAGCCCCAGUAAACGGCGGCCGUAACUAUAACGGUCCUAAGGUAGCGAAAUUCCUUGUCGGGUAAGUUCCGACCCGCACGAAAGGCGCAACGAUCUGGGCACUGUCUCAACGAGAGACUCGGUGAAAUUAUAGUACCUGUGAAGAUGCAGGUUACCCGCGACAGGACGGAAAGACCCCGUGGAGCUUUACUGCAACCUGAUAUGGAAUGUUUGUACCGCUUGUACAGGAUAGGUAGGAGCCGAAGAGACGUGUGCGCUAGCAUACGAGGAGGCAAUGGUGGGAUACUACCCUGGCUGUAUGACCAUUCUAACCCGCCACGCUUAGCGCGUGGGGAGACAGUGUCAGGUGGGCAGUUUGACUGGGGCGGUCGCCUCCUAAAGAGUAACGGAGGCGCCCAAAGGUUCCCUC
rnacentral:rRNA from 1 species